GGCCGCUCUGCAGGUCACUGUUAAAGGGGUGGGGUACUGUAGAUGUCACUGUUAUAGUGGAUACUGUCGAUAUUUUUUAACGACACACACAAACAUUAAAUGAAAUAGAUAAAAUAUACCAGUGCAAAGCCGAGUCCUUUUUGCUAGUAUAUGUAAAAAAA